rnacentral:rRNA from 1 species
GUUCAACGGCCGCGGUAUCCUAACCGUGCGAAGGUAGCGUAAUCACUUGUUCUUUAAAUGUGGACUAGUAUGAAUGGCACUACGAGGGUUAUACUGUCUCCUUUUUCUAAUCAGUGAAACUAAUUUUCCCGUGAAGAAGCGGGAAUAUAACUAUAAGACGAGAAGACCCUAUGGAGCUUUAAACAACCCAGCAAUUACUUCUAAAAUUUUAAAUUUCAGAAUAUUCAUUCUUUAAGUAGUAUGUCUGCAAGUUUUUGGUUGGGGUGACCAUGGAGAAUAACAUAACCUCCAUAUUGAAUGAAUUCCCUUCUAAGCUGAAAAUCACCAAUUGAAGCAUCAACACACUGACAUCUAUUGACCCAAUAUAUUUGAUCAACGAACCAAGUUACCCUAGGGAUAACAGCGCAAUCCACUUCAAGAGCCCCUAUCGACAAGUGGGUUUACGACCUCGAUGUUGGAUCAGGGUAUCCCAGUGGCGCAGCUGCUACUAAAGGUUCGUUUGUUCAACGAUUAAAACCC